GGCCCUGGGGGCACCGCGAGCAGCGCGUUCAGGCUCAGCAUCAGCCUCGGGGCUCUUUCCUAUGGACAGAACAGCAGAGUCCCCGGAAGAAACAUAUAGAAACACAAAGAAGAGGAAAAAGAAAGAUAGAGAGUUUCAAGCAAAAUGCUUCCGUUUCUACACUGAAAUGCAGGAUCCCCCGGACUGCUUAUCCGCCUUCCAGUGAUUUGGCGGCAGAAAAUGGGAUGACAUCAGCAAACCAAUCCCUAGCCGAGUGGACAGCAGCUGUAUGUUUCGUCAGCUUUGUUCUCCGUUGCGUGCCUGCUACGAAGAAAAGCGGCUAACCCCCAAUCGCUGCUGGAAAGAUAUGAAGACCUUGUCCUUCGCUAAGACCCAGGAACUCGAAUCCUCAGGUCAGCAAAAUUGACGUCAGAUCUCCUAGACCAGCUGCAGCCUCCUCUCCAGGAAAAGUGCC